GGAGCCAUGGACGUUCAAGACAGAGGCCAGCAAGGAAAAGGCCCUGAGGUGGGAGUGUGGCUGGAGAGGAGAGGGCAACAGAAAGAGUGAUAGGAUAUGAUUUUGGAGAAAUUACAUGUGCAGGAGCCGGCAUUUCAGACCAUGUAGAACUUCUUAAGUAGUUGUAGGGAGUUAGGGUCUUAUUGUGAGUGAAAUGGGAGCCAUUGGAGGGUUUGAGUAGAGUGAGAUGAGACGUGAUCAUCCUGUGUGGAGAAUAGACUGAUGGGAGGAGGGGAUGCAGAUGCCAUAAUCCAGGUGAAGUGAUGGUGGGUGGGCAAAUGUGCUGGCAGACAAGUAAUGGGCAGUGAUUUCACAUUUGGGAUCUAUUUUAAAAGUAAGGUGGAAACAUUUUUUUCUGAGUUGGAUAUAAGGUGUGAUGUGAAGAGAGGAAUCAAAACCACCUCUACAGUGUUUAAGAUAAGAAAAUGUUGAACAUAGCUGCCCUUCACAAAGAUGGGAAAGAAUGUAGAACAGAUAUUUUGGUGAUGGAGACACACUGUGUGGCCACGGUCACUUUGGGUUUGAGUGUCUUUUAAGACACCGAAGUGUUAGACAUCUGGACAUAGGAAUCGCAUUUAGAGAAAAAAAAAGCAAAACAAAACUGGGCUGGGGCGAUGAUUUUGGUUAGGAAGUGAGUUUGGAGAAAAGAACCGACCUGACGGUGAAUCCAGGAGAAUGGCAGUACCUACAGGCAGGAGAGUGGAGGGAAAGCAGGAGAGGACGGUGUGAGAGAGAGACCAAGGAAGGAGGAGGAGGGCAAGUCUGCGUGGUGCCCUGGCCGCCAUAGGAGGAGAAGAGGCGGGCUGCCUGCAGCGGAGGUCGGCUUCUCACCCAGAUUCCAUCACAUCGACCUCUGAACUGUGCACGGAAUCCGUCUGCUUGUCUCCACCCUCUGCCUCCACUGUGGGCAAGGCCACCACUGACCCCCGUCCUGACGACAGCGACGGCCUGCUCACCGCCCCUCCUCAAGUUUUAUUCCCAAGAAGAGUACUCCCCACACCAAGGCCAGUGCGGCCGUCAAGUGGUAAUUCUGACUGUGCCCUCACACCGAUGAACGCCUACAGUUUUUCCUGCUUCCAGAACAAAGGCUAAGUCGUGGACCCUGGUGGCAGCUGUGGCCCUGCUCUCCGGCCUCCCGUCUCACCCGCCCCAGCUCUUGGGCACCGUGCGCUCUCCUGCCUCCCUGCCUUCCUGGGACCACUGAUCCCUCUUCCCAAAGAACUCUUUCUCUCCCUCACUUUCCUUGGCUGGCUCUCAUUCGUCCUUUAGGACUUCCCCACGAAGGCAUUUCAGGCUCCCGCAUCUCGAACCCGAUUCCACACGACCCGUCAUCAUUGUGUCCAUGCUGCCUGCAUCAAGUGCAGAGAAAGUGAGGACUCGUUUGGCAGCAGCCUGGAGUGCGGACAACACACAAAUGUUUUCAGUUUCCAUCACGGCCAACAGCACACGAGCUCCACUUGGCUGGCUCUGUUCUUCACGGGAAGAUGAGCGUCCCCGUGUGUGGGCACCCCAGGCUCUCCAAGCUCCGGUGCACCCCAUGCUGGGAGUCCCAGGAGGUGGCUCUGACGAGAAGCAGGAGCGUCACCAUCCAAGGUGAGUGAAUGGGCUCGUGAGAUAGCCAAGUGCUGCUGAUAUCACACGAUGGGCCUGUCCUUCCAGCCUCAUCAAGGCCAUCGGGUGCUUGGAGGUGGGACACACUUGGUUUGAAUUCCCGUCCUGACCUGAGAGGCUCUGCAGAAGCCACCAAACGUCUCCAGGUGCCCGUUUAUUUAUUGGUUCCUUGAAGAAUGACUGUCCCCACCUCGGAUGCUGGUCAUGGAGAUAAAAUGGACCAUGAGCAAAGCAUAAGGCGUGACCAGCACAACCCAGGUGCCAGUUCCCCUCCCUUCUCUCUCCCUAGCUGCUUUCACGGGCCCGUCCUUGUCUUGCUGGCAGGGGCUGGGCCAAUCCAACCUCAGCCGGGGGGCCUGGCGCGGAGGAGGUGCUCGUGCAGCUGCGGGGCGAGAGCGACCUUGUUUGUGCACAUGGCUGGGCUGUGGCCGUCGGCGGGCACCUUCCCCGCGCUGGGCUGCAGGCAUGCAAGAGGCGAUGGACAAAGGCCCGUGAGUCCUCCCAGGGAAAUGUGGUUACCAUGGAAACAUGAGUGGUGCUGGGGGGGGGCACUGACCUUUGGGCGGCGGAAGGGGAACAUCCCCGCUGCGGUGGGUGGGCAUCCAUCCGGAGGGGUUUCUCUGAGAAUCAAGAGAGGACGUGAGCGCCAGUCGCGGGUAAGCAGAGCCCACGAGAACCUCAGGUGUGAGCACCGGCCCGCAGCCCCAAGUCCCAGGCCAGCCACCGGAGGACGGCGCGCGUCCCACGUCCCUUCUGUCUUCCACACAAUGCUGGCCUCUUGACGCUAUUUAGGGGAUCUUGAGCUUCGGAAUUCAUCCCUUACCCUCCGGUCUCUCGUGGAGAACGCCGGGCGGGUACUCGCACGCGCUCCUGAGGGUUGCUAAGGGAGUCGAAGGAGACUUGGCACGCAGGCUCCUCAGUACAAGCUGGGCAUCUUUCUUAUGAAGAAUCAUUAUCCCUUUCUCAUUGUCAUUACCAGCCCAGGGGACACUGCCCUGGCUCCCCCACCCCGCGCACAAACACACCCGCAGCCCCAGGGCUCCCCUCUUCUGGCCCACGACCUCCCCCUGCCAGUGGGGAGGGGCUCUGAACUCCUUCAGGGUCAGGAUGGGGUCCUCCAGGCCGUGCUGUGCUUGGGCCCCCGUGAGCAGAGGCAGGCAGGGAGCUCCGUGGGGGCGGGCGUGGAGAGUUCUCGUGGCGCUCAGGGUUGCUCUCAUGGGACCACCUUAACUCCUUGGGCCAGAAGAGAGAGCCGUAAGCCUGACCCCGUCCUCCCCAGGUUCCCCAGGGGCCACGCCAGUAGCUGUGGCUGGUGAGGGGCUGGCCAGAGCAAUGACACUGGCAUCAGACCCCAGUGUUCCCAAGGGGGCGGCAUCCCCCAGGCUCUGCCCCAGAGGUGCACCCUACAGGGGGUCCUGGGGCCUGAGCAUUUAGCAUGAGUGAGAGAGCACUUGGUUUCCUGCUCAGGAGAACGUGCUGGGCCAGGAGCGAGGCUCAGGGGCCCCUGGACUGGCGUCACUCCUCUGCUCUGUCCUUGGCACUGUAAGGAGGCAGGAGGGGUCGCUGCCCUCGAGGCGGGGGCACUGGUCCAUGUCCAACCCACACUCGUGCACGGGCAGCCCGUGUCCUGGUUGGGGUUCCACCGAAGCAGAGCCCGAGACGAGGACUCCGGGUGCACACUCCUUCUUUGGGAGACAGUCUGGGAACCAGCUUGGGAGAGGGGAUCGGAGGCAGGGAAGGAAGCGGCCAGCCAAGGGUGUGUUUCCACGCAAGGGGCCGUGGAAGUCGCGACUCUGGGCCACGGUAUCCUGCACACAGUGUGACAUCAGCUCAGCAUAAGGGCCAGAGAAUCGGGGUUUUGCUAUGCUAACGGCCACUGGCCAGUCGCCCAGGGCUGGUCCUCAGGCUGCUGGUUCCUCAGCACCUCUGGCCUCUGUGCAUGUGGGCGGGACCCCCUGGCCGCCAGAGGGGGGGUCAGGUAAGGCAGCACAGGUGGCGGAGUCCAGUGGCGUGCGCUGGGGUGGGGAGUCCAGGGGAUGGAGCAGUGUGAGCACGGCGCCCCUGCCCUGAGCCCUCCCUGCUGAUUGCCCUUCAGAAGGCCAGUCCGCAGCUCACUGACCUGCCCGGGCCGGCGAGGGCAGGGAGCAGAGAGCAGAGGGAAGGCCCAGAGGCCAAGUCCUGGGAGUCCCCCGCCCCGCACCCACCGUUGGCUCCAGCCCACCUGGGAGACCCCGGGGCCGGGGAAGGACGUGGAGGCGCCCCGGGCUGGGGUCUUAGGACACUCUGCCCGCCAGCUCUGGCUCCGGGGAGAGGCCUUCUUCCUCCCCGCCCCCCCACUCCCCGCGUCUACUUCGUGCUGUGGCAUCUCCUCGGAUCACCUGCGCCGACACCUAGUGUGUCCCAGGGUGUCGGCCCCAGAGCUCGUCUGCCCUCGAGUCCCUGCCAGAAGGAAAAGCUCAGAUCCAAGAACCCAGCAAGGGCUGGAAGGAUUGGAGGGUCUCCUCCUCCGUCCCUCUCCUUUCUGCCACCUCCCUCCUGCCCCUGCUGCCCGCCCUGGCCCCGGAGCUCCUCUCUGCAGCCCCUCGAGGCAGACCGUGCUGGGGAAUCUGAUGCCCAGGUGUCUGGGACAUGGGAUCCAUCAGGCUGACUCCACCGCGGGGCCCCUCUGGCAGGGUUGGGGGUGCAUUCAAGGGGAGAAAGGGUGAGGAGAGGUGCCGGGAUGUCUUUUGCUGCUGGACCUAAAGGAGGAGUCACCCUGGGGCGCCUGGGGGCCUCCAUGGGUGAAGCGUCUGCCCUUCCACUCAGGUCAUGAUCCCGGGGGCCUGGGAUCGAGUCCUGCAUCAUCGGGCUCCCUGCUCAGCGACGGGUCUGCUUCUCCCUCCCUCUCUGCUGCUCCCUCUGCCUGUGCUCUCUCUCUCUCUCUCUCUAAUAAGUACAAUCUUAAAAGGAGAAGAGUCACCCAGAGGGUGCAUUUUGUCAUAAGACCAACCUUGCGGGUCAGAGCCAGUGCCCAGGUGCCCUGACCAGGCCCGGAGCCCUCGCCGCACGCCGAGGGAGCCCGCUUCAUCGCUGGGGAGCCCUGCCUGGGAGAACUGGCUCCCCGGAUUGACUUGAAGUCUGUUCAGCACGUCUUCCAGACACUGGUUCCGAGUUCUGACAUUUCCAGCCACAGAGGACCGUUCUGCUCUUUCCGCCCCAUUACUUCUCUUAAAAACUUGAACACGGUGAGCCUUCCUGCCUGUCCACCUCCCCCAAACACACACACACACACACACACACACACACACACGCCAUUCCCUGGAUGCACAACCAGGCCCCCGCCGGCCCUCAUCUCUGCACCCCCCACCCCACAGCAGCACGUUUCCUCACUCUUUUCCACGCUGGGACUCUCCUUCCAAAGACUCAGAAACCACAGAUGCAUGAAGUGUCCUAGAUUUGGGAAGGGCCUCUGGAAGUCGCCGGGUCUGGAGCUGGCACUCACACGCAGGAGGGCUGGAGGCCCAGGGCUCACGUGGGAUGUGCGGGGACGCACAGCAGAGCAGAGUGAGCCCUGGAACGGGCGCGGCCUGACUGCAGGACCAAGCUCCAUGCGAGUCUGCUCACUUCAUGGUCCUGAAAACGUGGCCCCGAGCUGACGGAGCAGAGCAGGGACCUGGGUUUCACUUCCCUGUGUAGGUGAGGUGGCCUCCGGAGCCGCCGGGAACAGGGACAGCUGGCUUUUCCGCCCCUGCCCACAGCAGGUGAGCCAUUUCAGCAAUGGGCAGGGUCUGGAGGGUAGGAGUCACGGGCGGCUCUCGUGGUUAACUUGCAAAUGAUCUGGAUAAAUAAGGAGGUGCAUCUGUGUAGGAGAUUAAUGGCUGUUUUCAGAUCUUGGCUCCUUACAGUGAGAUCGGACACGGUUGCCGUCACCGCCCCCUCUGGCUGGUGUGGACGUGGCCACUCGGCUGGCGGGAGCGGCGGGCAGAGCAACGGUGCACCUGCCCUGCUGAGCCGAGGCCUCCAGAGGCAGCGCAGGGGUCCUGCUCCUCUCUCCAUCCUCCCAGGACUGUCCACAGGUGCGGAGAGAACAAAGAGACCCAUAAACAGCCCUGAACGCAGCAGCGGCCAGGCCCAGGCUGCCCAGGCAGGGUGAGCCCAGCAGAGCCCCAGGCUCCCCACGUGAGCAGGAUGUGAAGGGCCUGUUGCUGUGAGCUGCCGGGGCCGCUCGUUAUGCACACCUGCCGUAGCCUUUGCUGACCAAUACGGCCGUUCUCGGGAGCGGGAUAACCAGAGACUGCACAGAUGCCGACUUUUCCUAAAUUCAUUUAUGGAUUCAACACAUUAUCUGAUCAAAACCCUCAAUAGGAGUUUUUGGAACUUGGAAAAUGGAUUCUAAAUUUAAUUUAGAAAA